GUUUUCCCUUUGGCCUUUGUUCUUGGUGUUCCCUAUAAUGGCCUGUUUGCUGUUGCUUUUGCUUUGGUUUCCCUUGGCUUUCCUUCUUGCUUUUUUCUUUGUCUUACCCUUGGCUGCUUGCUUUGCUUUUCUCUUGCAGUGUCUUUCUGUGGUUGUUCUGCUUGUCUUUGGGAUUUGUGUUAAUGUUUUGUUUGUGUUAAUCUUGAUCUGCUCCCCCGGCUUAAUGCGGGUUGUAGUGAUAAAGUCUGUAACCUGUAUUUGUUAAUGGAACUGAUAUUUACCUAAUAUUUACCCAAUACUAAAGGUGUCUGUUAUGAUAAAUGCAGUCAUAAAAGUGAUGCUCAGUGCUUUAUGUGAAAGUCACUUUAAUUAUGAUCGUAGUGUGGGAUACAAUUGUUAAACUUACUGCAAAUCUAGACUUAAAAGUAGCAUUAAUUAUAUCCAUAAUAGCAUUAAUUAUAUCCCUAAUAGCAUUAAUUAUAUCCCUAAUAGCAUUAAUUAUAUCCCUAAUAGCAUUAAUUGUAUCCCAGUGCCUUCAUUGUCAUGUUGUGUCCAACAGGUUCCAGCAGAGCACAGAGAUGUGCGGCUCCUGAUGAGAGCAGCGAGGAACAGAAACCUGCAUUGCCUGGACCCAGCUUUGCUGAUGGUAACUCUCAGCCCAGCAGGGCCCUUAUAUUCCCUGGCUGAUGGAUGUUCCCCUUUGAUGCAGCGCUCCAUGCUGCCAUGCAGGCGUUCAAUAAAGCUUUGGGGGGCUGACGAUCCAUCACAACAGCA